GAUGAACGCUGGCGGCGUGCCUAAUACAUGCAAGUCGAGCGAACAGACGAGGAGCCUGCUCCUCUGACGUUAGCGGCGGACGGGUGAGUAACACGUGGAUAACCUACCUAUAAGACUGGGAUAACUUCGGGAAACCGGAGCUAAUACCGGAUAAUAUAUUGAACCGCAUGGUUCAAUAGUGAAAGACGGUUUUGCUGUCACUUAUAGAUGGAUCCGCGCCGCAUUAGCUAGUUGGUAAGGUAACGGCUUACCAAGGCAACGAUGCGUAGCCGACCUGAGAGGGUGAUCGGCCACACUGGAACUGAGCCACGGUCCAGACUCCUACGGGAGGCAGCAGUAGGGAAUCUUCCGCAAUGGGCGAAAGCCUGACGGAGCAACGCCGCGUGAGUGAUGAAGGUCUUCGGAUCGUAAAACUCUGUUAUUAGGGAAGAACAAAUGUGUAAGUAACUAUGCACGUCUUGACGGUACCUAAUCAGAAAGCCACGGCUAACUACGUG
rnacentral:rRNA from 1 species